GGCCUCAUAACUCAUUUGGCUAGAGUGUUAGUUGUACUAAAGCCUUCCCCCAGCUGGCGUAGGUUCGAAUCCCACCGAGGCCA
rnacentral:tRNA from 1 species